GAACACGUGGCUAUGAAUGAUGAUCUAUCAUUACCAAAUGGCCAACCGGCAGUGAAUCGCUCCCUUCAAAUGCUUAAAGAAAAAACGUUGUUAUCUCCCUUAAGAUCUCAAACCGAAAAACGCUUCGGUUCCCUCUCCUUCUCUCUUCUACCUAUUUUACUAAAUCCAAACUCUCUUCUCUGUUAGUAAAAGAAAACCUUAAUCCAACAAAUUAAAACAACAACAAAAGCGAUCCCUUUUUUUUACCGAUUCAAACAUACGCAAGCGAAAACUUAAGAGUCACAAAAUAACCAAACAAAUCACAGCAAUAUGGUAAGAGAUACACAAUAUUUCUACAAAAAGGCAUAAGGAUUAAUGCAGAAGGAAGUGAUAUAAAGUUCUCCGGAAAAUAGAGUUUCCGACGAGUGUACCGGCGAUAUGACCCAACCUCGAGGUAUUUUGAUUUCUUCUCCCUUUCUUCCUUCUAAACUUUGGAUCCUCCUCUUCUACGCCACGUCUUUGCUGUUCUAAGUGCUCGUGGUAGGAUAAAGGUCUCCAGUGCGAAGAUCCGAAAAGAACUUUUAAAUGGAGCUUUGGUGAGGGUUGAGUUUCGAUUUUAGCAGGGUAACGGUGCAGAAAUUCCGGUUGUCGUUAGUGAUUCAGUGCCUCCUUUUUAUAGGGUCGAGUACGAGGUUCAAUCGUCCUCAUCUCUUAUGAGCUGGCAAAAAUCUGCGGAUGAAUCAAUCCGUUAAAAAAAAUCUCUUCCAGAUUUGGUGGUCCUUCCUGUUAACGUGGUCCCAAAAUGCAGGUGUUUAAGGUUUUGUCUGUAGUGAACGAGAAAGCGACGGGGUGCGGUGAAAUUCUUCUUUACUGCAGUUUUUUUCCUCUUGAAGCGAUUCCAAUUCUUCACCAAUAUUUAGCUUUCCUUGAUUUGACAUAACCUGUUUUAUGGAUAUUUUGCAAUUUGAAUAGGUGGGAUAAUCUGCAGGUCUUUGUUACAAUAUUCACAUAUCUAUGCGGUUUGGCCAAUUGUUGUAAGCUUGUGCUCCGAUUUUGCAGUAGGUUUAUGUUGUGACAUGUGCAUGUCUGCAAGGUUUGGAAGGUUGUGUAAUUUAGACCAUCACUGUGUUUGUAUUAAGCAUGUUCAUGUCUUUAUUUUUUUAAUGCUCUUAUGCUUAGUUUCAGUGCGAGCAGGACGCAAUUUAUGGUUUUGUAGCAAGUUUAAGAUCGUGUUCAAGAAACUAUGGUUGCUUGGACCCCUCUGGACAUGCUUAGCACAUUGCAAUUCAAGCUAAGUUUUAAUGCAAAUAGUUGUUGAUGCAGGUAAUUGUUGAUGUUGGUUAUGCCAUGGUAUGCUGAUGGCUCGAGAAUGUCGACAGGUUUUGAAAUUUUUGCAAGCAGGCUGCAGAUUGUGUUUCAUAUGUGUACUACUGCAGGAUAUAUUGCAGGUUGUUCAUAAUGCCAGACAUUGGCCAUGAAGUCUUAUAAUUCCCAUUCGGUAUACCACAAUCACCUCUUGUUCAUAGCCUUGGCUUGCAACAUUAGCUACCAAUGCUCGCGAAGUGCUAAGCCAUGAUUUCAUUAUGCCGUUGAUACUCAGUCUUGUGCGAUUUCUUUGAAGGAACGUCGACACUACAGGGGUGAUGCACACUUUAUCAUGUUGGUUCACAAGGGUGGUUGUUAGAAUUUAUGGACAACUCUGUCAUGAUUUUAAAUGAAGGCGAGAAAGGUUGAGCCAAUAUUGGAGCGAGUAUAUUUGCAAAUUCUGAAGCUCCCUUUCAAAUGCUAUAGACUGUUCAAUAUCUCACAAUGGGCUUGGCCAAGGCUUGGAGAAAAAGAUGCAAAACAAGUGAUCCUGAACUCAGGUGAUGAAACAUGCACAAUUGAGGUUUUGCUGUAGGUUGAACAUGGCUGCAACUUGCCGUCACUGCGACAUCAUUAUUCACAGUUGGCUUGGUUUUGCAGUUUGGACUUGGACGGCCUGGCUAGUGGCGUUCCGAAUUUGUACUACAUUAAAGCGUCAGUUUGCUGUGGCUGGAACUUUUGAGCUUUCUGCAAUUACCUAGGCUUUUAUUUGGAUGAGUUUUGGAUAGUUUGUAGCC